CUCUCCUGUCUAUCUCUCUCUCACUGAUAUGAAGCUCUUGUAAGUUACAAUCAUAGUUGAUCAACAUUUGCCAAUGGGAAGAAUGGAUGGAUUGAGAAAAGCAAAUGCCUACCCAUAAGAAAGAACAAAAGUAAGGUAAGAAAAUUACCACCAAUGGGAGGACUAAUCACCACUUUCUUGCCCACUGGCAAACCACCACUCUCACAACCAUUGCCAGUAUUAAGUCAUUAGGAAUGGAAGG
rnacentral:lncRNA from 1 species